AAGACUAUACUUUCAGGGAUCAUUUCUAUAGUAUCUAACUAGGAAGUGUGAUUCGAAAGUGAUGCGUCUCUUUAACCACGAUGAUGAGUUGAGAUGUUUCUCUCUGAGCGUGAAUCAGAAGGAGAAUGAUGAUUCUUUCAUUUGUUCUCCAUCAUUGAUGAAUGUUCCUGCUGCUUCAUGCAGUCUGGAGGAGAGAAGCAUGUUCAGAGUGGU